rnacentral:rRNA from 1 species
GAUGAACGCUAGCGAUAGGCUUAACACAUGCAAGUCGAGGGGCAGCAUGGUCUUAGCUUGCUAAGACUGAUGGCGACCGGCGCACGGGUGCGUAACGCGUAUGCAACUUGCCUCACAGAGGGGGAUAACCCGUCGAAAGACGGACUAAUACCGCGUACACUCCAUCUUGGGCAUCCAAGGUAGAGGAAAUGAAAUUCGCUGUGAGAUAGGCAUGCGUCCCAUUAGCUAGUUGGUGAGGUAACGGCUCACCAAGGCGACGAUGGGUAGGGGAACUGAGAGGUUGAACCCCCACACUGGUACUGAGACACGGACCAGACUCCUACGGGAGGCAGCAGUGAGGAAUAUUGGUCAAUGGGCGAGAGCCUGAACCAGCCAAGUCGCGUGAAGGAUGACCGUCUUAUGGAUUGUAAACUUCUUUUAUACGGGAAUAACAAGAGUCACGUGUGACUCCCUGCAUGUACCGUAUGAAUAAGCAUCGGCUAACUCCGUG